GACGAACGCUGGCGGCGUGCUUAACACAUGCAAGUCGAACGGAAAGGCCUGCUUUCCCUUGUGGAUUGCGGGUACUCGAGUGGCGAACGGGUGAGUAACACGUGAGUGAUCUGCCCCCAACUUGGGUAUAAGCCUGGGAAACUGGGUCUAAUUCCCGAUAGGACUGCAGGGUGGUGCCUGUGGUGGAAAACGAUUUUCUAGUGGUUGGUGAUGAGCUCGCGGCCUAUCAGCUUGUUGGUGGGGUAAUGGCCUACCAAGGCGGCGACGGGUAGCCGGCCUGGGAGGGUGCACGGCCACAUUGGGACUGAGAUCCGGCCCAGACUCGUACGGGCGGCAGGAGUGGGGACGAUAGCACCAUGGGCGGAAGCCUGAUGCAGCGACGCCGCGUGGGGGAUGACGGCCUUGGGGUUGUAAACUCCUUUCGAACAAGAGGAAGCCACCUGGUUGGAAGGGUGGUGACGGUAGUGGUAGAAGAAGCACCGGCUAACUACGUG
rnacentral:rRNA from 1 species